AAGUCGUAACAAGGUUUCCGUAGGUGAACCUGCGGAAGGAUCAUUACCGAGUUCGUGGGCGUUCUGACCGGACCCCAAACUCCCACCCUUUUGUGUACCUCACCGUGUUGCUUUGGCGGGCCUGCGUGCCCUCAAAAAGCGCGCUGCCGGCCUCGUGCUGGCUCGUGCCCGCCAGGGGACCUUUAAACUCCUGUUUUUAUCAAGUGUCGGUCUGAGUGGUUACAACCCCAACAAGUUUAAAACUUUCAACAACGGAUCUCUUGGUUCUG
rnacentral:misc_RNA from 1 species